UACGUAGGGUGCGAGCGUUGCCCGGAUUUAUUGGGCGUAAAGGGCGCGUAGGCGGCUCGGCACGUCCGUUGUGAAAUCGCCCGGCUCAACUGGGCGGGGUCAGCGGAUACGGUCGAGCUUGAGCAAGCUAGGGGGUAAUGGAAUUCCCGGUGUAGUGGUGGAAUGCGUAGAUAUCGGGAGGAACACCAGUGGCGAAGGCGGGGUCCUGGGCCAGUACUGACGCUGAGGAGCGAAAGCGUGGGGAGCAAACAGG
rnacentral:rRNA from 1 species